UGCAUGUUAAUUCUGCACAAUUUUCUGGGUGUAAACGUUUACAGACACUUUAGUAGACAGUGUAGCCCAGAAUGACCUAGUCGGAGGAGUGUUAUCAAAGUAUAUAAUCAAUAUUGGAGCGAAAUAAAUAGAAGUUGCUCCAUGAUAUAUUAUUAUUAAUAAUAGUUAUAUUAUUAUUAUAAUAUGCAGAUAUCAAUACUUUAUACCAUAAAAAAUUGGACGACCAUACAUUCAUUGUUAUACUAUAACUGCUCAUAAUGGUCUUAUGGCAAAAUGAACCACAAUAGUUAGAGCAAAUGUAAUAGUCCAUUUAAGUGGCAGAGAUCUUCAGAAUAUAUGGAGCAGGCUAGCAACAUGAAGGAUGUGGACUACAAGGCAGUCUGCUGUAUGAGAAAAGACACACUAGACUUGCAGGGGUUGGCAACCCUAGGCACACAUGCCACCACUGGCACGGGGCAGGAUAAUCAUUGGCACACUUAAAGUAAAAUAUAAAUAAAAUAAAGUAAAAAAAUAUAUAUUAUUUUUAUUAUUUCUUUAUUAAUAAAAAAAUUCGCAGCACAAUGCGGCAGCCUAAUCAUUACUACCGAUUUUUUUUUUGCACUUUAUUCUGUUUUGGGGAUUUCCUCCCAGUGCAAAUAUGUUAAAAUUAGUUACAGAAAGCAGUGCUGAAAUGGGAUCAAUUAAUAGUUUUUAAACCUAUGUUGUGAGUAAUAGAAAAGAAAAUAUUUAAAAUAUUGUUGCAAGUGGUGUUGUUGCUGUAUGCAUCGCCUUCACAUGGUUUUGCAUAGCUGUACAUGUCUUAACGAUAUUGAUGUGGAUGGUUUCAACAUUCUCAUAUAUUCUCGUUUUUUACAUUUCUCACAGUGCAAAUAUGUUUUUGAAUGAGUUUCUGAAAAUGGUGUUUUAAGAUGGGACAUAUGUAAUUAUAAUUUGUAAGCCCAUGUUGCAAAUAUAACAACCAAAAAAACAUUUAAAAUGUUGAUGCAUGAUUGUGGACUAUAUGAAAAUAGUACAAUUCCAGGUCUUCUGGAAAUGUUUUUGGUCGCUGUGUCAUAAUUCAGCUUCAUUUUUUAUAUAUUGUUGCUGACCCCUGCACUAGAGUCUAGAGUCUAGCCUGUGUGUGACAGGCUUACGUCGGUUCACUUAAUCUACACUGUGCCACUACUUCUACAUCUACGUCGGAUAUCAGUGGGCCCUCACUUCACAAUAACAGCACUGAAGAAGAACUAGAACAAUCCAAAUCAUCUUUUGAAGGUAUUUAGCCUCCAAACGAUACAACAUAUCAUAACCAAGAUUAUUUAACCAAAGGGAGCUUCUCCCAGUGUUUGGCUGCAAUUUUUUUUUUUUAAGGUAAUCGAUCAUUAUUAGGUGUAUUUAUGUUUCUGUUGGUUCAACAUGGCCAGUCCAUACAGUUUUUCCCCCUCCCCCAGAGGGAUUGCCUGAAGCCACUUAGCAUCGUAACAUAUGUAUGUGGCAGCCGUUUCGCUUCCACGGGUCAGGCCUUCUCAGUGUGUGUCCCACAUACGGAGGGGAAAGACUCCUCUAGAACAUUGAAGACACCUAGAUUAACAUGGAUUAGUGCCAAGACUCAGACCAAAGGCCAAACUGCAAGAUGUCAUUUUUUCUCCUCUAAGGCUCCGCCUCCAACCUGCUCCGCCGCCUCAGGCUGUGGCUGCUCAUGUAGGUUUUGUUUAAGUGCAGCAUCUAGUUUGUUUUGUGAAUAUACACACAUCUAUUCACAUUUGCAUUUGAUGCAAACAUUUUAAAUAGAUUAAGAAUUCCAAAUUAAAGAUCAGAUUCUUUUUU